AAAAUACAACCGGGGAGCUUGUGGAAACAGGCUGAGAGGAGGCUGUACCGCCUCGACCCGCCGACCUGAUUUGGGUAAUGCCAACGUAGGGACUGAUCCGGCCUGGACU
rfam:Lachnoclostridium sp. An14 An14_contig_9, whole genome shotgun sequence.